UACGUAGGGGGCAAGCGUUGUCCGGAUUUAUUGGGCGUAAAGAGCGUGUAGGCGGCCAGGUAGGUCUGCUGUGAAAACUCGAGGCUUAACCUCGAGCUGUCGGCGGAAACCAUCUGGCUAGAGUCCGGAAGAGGAGAAUGGAAUUUCCGGUGUAGCGGUGAAAUGCGUAGAUAUCGGAAGGAACACCAGUGGCGAAAGCGGCUUCCUGGUCCAGCACCGACGUUCAGGCACGAAAGCGUGGGGGAGCAAACAGG
rnacentral:rRNA from 1 species